CCCUCUCUCUCUCUUCCUCGGUUCGGGUGCUCUAGUGUUUCCAAUAAGUGGACUUUCUUGCAAGUGCCAACAGCUAGUGCUCACACUAGAGCACCUCUACUUCCUUGCCUACUAUCAAGUCAAUCUGGUGUUCAUCCGAGAGCCAGCGUCAACACCUCGUAUAAUGUCAGAUCCCUCCCUACCAAGUAGUGGGGUGUCACAUGUUCAAAGAUGCAGAACCAAGAAUUCAUCUUCCUAACUGACUCAGCAUCCUAAGAUUGAAGAUAGCCGUCAAAAAAAUCCACUAACAUGCGGUCUUGGAGCAAAUGAAGAGAACACUAGCAUGUCUCUUCGACCAUGGCCUAGAAGAGAUGCUAAAUUUUUGGUGCACUUCUGCAUUGCCUAUGAGCUAGCAGUAAGCUUUUCUAGAUGGGAAGGAGGCAAGGAGGGAAUGCAUGUAGAGAGGU
rnacentral:lncRNA from 1 species